CGGGUGAGUAACACGUGGAUAACCUACCUAUAAGACUGGAUAACUUCGGGAAACCGGAGCUAAUACCGGAUAAUAUUUUGAACCGCAUGGUUCAAAAGUGAAAGACGGUCUUGCUGUCACUUAUAGAUGGAUCCGCGCUGCAUUAGCUAGUUGGUAAGGUAACGGCUUACCAAGGCAACGAUGCAUAGCCGACCUGAGAGGGUGAUCGGCCACACUGUAACUGAGACACGGUCCAG
rnacentral:rRNA from 1 species